UACGGAGGGGCGAGCGUUGUCCGAAGUUACUGGGCGUAAGCGCGUGUAGCGGGUUGCAAGUCCGCUGUGAAGCCCGAGGCUCAACCUCGGAGGGUCGGUGGAUACUGGCAGUCUUGAAGGUGCUAGGGGAGAUGGAAUUACCGGUGUAGCGGUGAAAUGCGUAGAGAUCGGUAGGAACACCAGUGGCGAAGGCGGUCUCCUGGGCAUUCUUGACGCUGAGACGCGAAAGCUGGGGAGCGAACGGG
rnacentral:rRNA from 1 species